AAUUCGCCGCUUAUCGAGAAUGCAAUUUAUAAUACAAAAUGGCAGUCGAAAGCCGCUCGAGAAAAAGGGACCAUAAUUAAUAUUUAAAGGAUGCAGCCACAAUACUCUGCCCCCGGCUCCCCAUUUCCAGCCCCAUCUGGUGUGCUCUCCUGUUGCUUCAUCGGCGAUUCCAAUCAGAUAACAUUAGCACGUCACAUCACACAGCGUGCAAAAAUUAUUAUUCAUUGAAUUUGUGAUAAAUGUGACAGGCCCAACAGCACUCCGAGGGGUCUCAACAAUGCCGACGGUUCGAAGAGUCGAAGAGUCGACGAGCCGACCAACCAACCGACCUGCCUGCAUUUCCAGGCCAAUAUGGCCAAUGUGGCCAAUAUGGGCCAGGACCGAACCGAACCGAACCAGGCCGCAUCGAAGCUGUCAAAAAUUUGUUGCAAAAAGAUAUUAUCUGGUAUGGAUGGAAAGGACCAGCGAUGACGAUGACGGACCGAGACUGCCAGUGAUGGCAGUUUGGCUAAAAACUGGUGGGAUUCCUCAUUUACCUAAAGUAUAUCUAUAUUACACCAUCCAUCUGGACUGGAUUGGAAGGCUAUUCGGUGGAUAGAAUUGUUAGUUUAUUUAAGCAUGGAUUUUAAAAUCAUGUCUUUGGCAUCACUGGCAAAUGUAGCUGCUCCGGGCUCAUCAAUAAUGAGGCGACGAGGAUGCGGCUGCUCGGCAACGUUGCUGAUGAUGGCAAUGGCGAUGGCCAUGAUCGAUGAUUGACCUGUUUUUGUUGCGCCCAUCUUUAGAGUGACGAUUGCCGGCGAGGCUUCUUCUGGCCCUGACCACGACCACACCCAUUGACAGGCAGCUGCAGUGUGCAAUUAUUUGCGGGCAAUCACAACAGCAGGCGGAGUACUCAAAUGGAAUUGCCACAUUGAUUGAUGUGCUCAAUAAAUUGCACGAUGAGCAGCACAUCAACUGUUUCUGCAGUCCGGCGCUUGGUAUUUGGCAUGUGAUAAGGCCGAUGGGAGCUGACAAGGGAGUCGAGCUGAGCUGAGCAUUUAAAUGUCCAAUAGAUGUCUGCACAAGAGCAUGAGAGCAAUGGGAAUGGACAGUUCAGAACAACCAUUUAUCAAUUCAAAUACAUUUGCACAGCUUGUCUUGGAAAGUGAUUAAGAAUCAUUAGACUAUUUAUUCAGAAUCCGAACUCCGAAAAAUGUACUGACAUUUCAUUUGACACCUUAUGUUCCUGUAUUUCUCGCAUCUGCUGCAGGAAUCUUAAUCCCCAGCGGAAUGCCUUUCGGCGUAUGAAUCAUUGGCAAGGCCCCACAGUCUUCGGGGAACAUUUUAAUUAUGGUUUUUAAUUUCACGGCCCAUAUGGCGGGCUGUCAGGUGAUUUCCCCUGAAAUAUGCGCAGAACUCACAUCUAUCAAGCACGCCUGGUUGGUUGAAUGAAAUUAAGUGUUAAUCUCAUUUGAUUUGUCAUAUUCACAUGACGUGAUUUGGCGGCCUUCGCAGCUCUGGGGCAAUAGAAACGAGAAACGAUCGCUCCUCUGGCUCGUGAUGUAUGGGAAACAAAUGUUUCUCUGACACAUUUAUUUGUUUAAUGAGACGUUGAAUAAUUAGUUGGAUAUGGCACAAGCGCAAGAAAAUACUCGUAUGUACAGCCGAUACAAAGGCGAAAACACAACUUGCAUACUCACAACUGUGGAUUGUGAAUUGUGGAUACCACCAUCCCUACACCCCCGCACACACACAUCAGUUGGCACAGCAAUUUAUAAAUUAUGAUUGACGACUCUGUGUGCGGAAUUGUGUGACCCAUCGCAGUUAGCCCCCCUUUUCAGGGCCUUCCCCACUUCGAAACUCGGCUCCACCAUGUGAGAUUCGUCUGACAUUUUUCUAUAUAGUUUUUUGGCCUGGCCUCGGUCAUUAUGGCUGACAGCGCGCCUUCAAAAUGAUGAGUUUAGAUUGAUGGCCGCACAUCACUCAGCGAGAUGGCAGCCACACCGAGUGGAGAUGGAAGGCUGAAGAGGUUGGGCGAAGUCGAAAUACCCUAUCCAAGGACCAACACGUCCCUGGACGACACUAUCAAAAGCAGCUAGUAAACCCAUGGCCAAGUAUUUGGUUAGGUAAAUAGAUAGACAACGAAAUCUAUGCAAUAUUUGUAUUUUUAUAACUGUUAAUCAUCACUACAAAAUUACUACUAGGCGUGCUUAAAAACAUAGUUCUUUUGGCAUCAAAAAAUCUAAAUAAUAAUAUUUCAUAUGAACAAACUCUUCUUAAUCUCUUCAAAUAAAAGUUUCAGCACAACUCGUUCUAUCCAGUUGCCCUCUAGAGACAGAGCACUAAAAUCCAAUACGACUGCAGGCUAUUUGUGGUUUUGGGCCCAAAUCCUCGUGCUCCGCUGCCUCGCCUGUUGACAUGUCACUAAUUUCGGAAUCGCUAAGCUGAUUUUGCUGAAAUCUGAUUUUUUGUUGUGAGCCAGCCCCUGGGAUAGUGGCCCCAUCCCAUCUUCCUUUCGCAACUCCGACGAUGAUUGAUGUGUUUGGCAUAUGAAAAACCGAGCUGAAAACAAAAACCCUUUUUCCGAAACAUAUUCUGUGUCGUUUUGUGUGCCAGAGGAGAGCGGCGUAGAAAUGUAUUAAUCAUCCGUGGCGAAGCCUAGCGAGUCGAGGUGAUAAAUUAAGUUUGAAGACGAUUGGGAAAGUCUGUCGAGUAAUUAGUGAACUGAGCCGGGUCUGGAUUGGAUUGGGCUCUCUGGUCGGGUCGUGUCUUUCCACAUCCCAAAGGCCCACGUUGCCUUGGAGGCGGUGGCGGUGGCGGCGGCCUAAGAGAGCAAUAAUGAUGUGAGUGACAGAAGAAAUGCAAGAGACCGAAAUUAAAUAUGAUAAAAGACCCACACAGUCUGUUGGCAUAAUUAAGUAUGACAUGCAAAAGUAUGAAUUAUCACUGAAAUGUCAAAGUGUCACAGCUGCCAUCAGGAGGCGAUGGAAAUGCAGAUGGAGAUGGGGAUGGGGAAUCUGGCGGAAGGCAUAAAUAAAACCAGAGAAGAGAGUGCAAGAAGCCAUGACAACGAACGCCGCGUGUGGGAUUAACUGACUUGAAAAUUUAUGAUAUGAAAAAUUACUUUAGCCCGACACACACACACACUCGCACACACAGCUCAUGGCAUACAAAACUGCAAACUGAAAGAUGCAAAGUGGCGGGCGAGAUACAAAUACACAAAGAGAGAUGUU